UUAUGGUGCAGACGAGAAAAGGGAGUCC
rnacentral:piRNA from 1 species